AAAUAAUACAAAUAUGUUUAAAUGAAUAUUGGAGCGAUACAGAGAAUAUUAGCAUGGUGCCUGAGCGAGGAUGACACACACAAUUUUUGAUGCUUUUCAUAUGAAU